rnacentral:ncRNA from 2 species
GUGAAACUUUAGGGGUGUCCACCAAUUGGCAGACUGAGAUUAUACCCUCAAUACCUGAUGCAGAUAACGCUGCCGUAGGAAAAAGAAACUUCUCUCUU